GGUUAAGCGACUAAGCGUACACGGUGGAUGCCCUGGCAGUCAGAGGCGAUGAAGGACGUGCUAAUCUGCGAUAAGCGUCGGUGAGGUGAUAUGAACCGUUAUAACCGGCGAUUUCCGAAUGGGGAAACCCAGUGUGUUUCGACACACUAUCAUUAACUGAAUCCAUAGGUUAAUGAGGCGAACCGGGGGAACUGAAACAUCUAAGUACCCCGAGGAAAAGAAAUCAACCGAGAUUCCCCCAGUAGCGGCGAGCGAACGGGGAGGAGCCCAGAGCCUGAAUCAGUGUGUGUGUUAGUGGAAGCGUCUGGAAAGGCGCGCGAUACAGGGUGACAGCCCCGUACACAAAAAUGCACAUACUGUGAGCUCGAUGAGUAGGGCGGGACACGUGGUAUCCUGUCUGAAUAUGGGGGGACCAUCCUCCAAGGCUAAAUACUCCUGACUGACCGAUAGUGAACCAGUACCGUGAGGGAAAGGCGAAAAGAACCCCGGCGAGGGGAGUGAAAAAGAACCUGAAACCGUGUACGUACAAGCAGUGGGAGCCUCUUAAUGGGGUGACUGCGUACCUUUUGUAUAAUGGGUCAGCGACUUAUAUUCUGUAGCAAGGUUAACCGAAUAGGGGAGCCGAAGGGAAACCGAGUCUUAACUGGGCGUUAAGUUGCAGGGUAUAGACCCGAAACCCGGUGAUCUAGCCAUGGGCAGGUUGAAGGUUGGGUAACACUAACUGGAGGACCGAACCGACUAAUGUUGAAAAAUUAGCGGAUGACUUGUGGCUGGGGGUGAAAGGCCAAUCAAACCGGGAGAUAGCUGGUUCUCCCCGAAAGCUAUUUAGGUAGCGCCUCGUGAAUUCAUCUCCGGGGGUAGAGCACUGUUUCGGCAAGGGGGUCAUCCCGACUUACCAACCCGAUGCAAACUGCGAAUACCGGAGAAUGUUAUCACGGGAGACACACGGCGGGUGCUAACGUCCGUCGUGAAGAGGGAAACAACCCAGACCGCCAGCUAAGGUCCCAAAGUCAUGGUUAAGUGGGAAACGAUGUGGGAAGGCCCAGACAGCCAGGAUGUUGGCUUAGAAGCAGCCAUCAUUUAAAGAAAGCGUAAUAGCUCACUGGUCGAGUCGGCCUGCGCGGAAGAUGUAACGGGGCUAAACCAUGCACCGAAGCUGCGGCAGCGACGCUGAUGCGUUGUUGGGUAGGGGAGCGUUCUGUAAGCCUGUGAAGGUGGCCUGUGAGGGUUGCUGGAGGUAUCAGAAGUGCGAAUGCUGACAUAAGUAACGAUAAAGCGGGUGAAAAGCCCGCUCGCCGGAAGACCAAGGGUUCCUGUCCAACGUUAAUCGGGGCAGGGUGAGUCGACCCCUAAGGCGAGGCCGAAAGGCGUAGUCGAUGGGAAACAGGUUAAUAUUCCUGUACUUGGUGUUACUGCGAAGGGGGGACGGAGAAGGCUAUGUUGGCCGGGCGACGGUUGUCCCGGUUUAAGCGUGUAGGCUGGUUUUCCAGGCAAAUCCGGAAAAUCAAGGCUGAGGCGUGAUGACGAGGCACUACGGUGCUGAAGCGACAAAUGCCCUGCUUCCAGGAAAAGCCUCUAAGCAUCAGGUAACAUCAAAUCGUACCCCAAACCGACACAGGUGGUCAGGUAGAGAAUACCAAGGCGCUUGAGAGAACUCGGGUGAAGGAACUAGGCAAAAUGGUGCCGUAACUUCGGGAGAAGGCACGCUGAUAUGUAGGUGAAGCGACUUGCUCGUGGAGCUGAAAUCAGUCGAAGAUACCAGCUGGCUGCAACUGUUUAUUAAAAACACAGCACUGUGCAAACACGAAAGUGGACGUAUACGGUGUGACGCCUGCCCGGUGCCGGAAGGUUAAUUGAUGGGGUUAGCGGUAACGCGAAGCUCUUGAUCGAAGCCCCGGUAAACGGCGGCCGUAACUAUAACGGUCCUAAGGUAGCGAAAUUCCUUGUCGGGUAAGUUCCGACCUGCACGAAUGGCGUAAUGAUGGCCAGGCUGUCUCCACCCGAGACUCAGUGAAAUUGAACUCGCUGUGAAGAUGCAGUGUACCCGCGGCAAGACGGAAAGACCCCGUGAACCUUUACUAUAGCUUGACACUGAACAUUGAGCCUUGAUGUGUAGGAUAGGUGGGAGGCUUUGAAGUGUGGACGCCAGUCUGCAUGGAGCCGACCUUGAAAUACCACCCUUUAAUGUUUGAUGUUCUAACGUGGGCCCCUUACCGGGGUUGCGGACAGUGUCUGGUGGGUAGUUUGACUGGGGCGGUCUCCUCCUAAAGAGUAACGGAGGAGCACGAAGGUUGGCUAAUCCUGGUCGGACAUCAGGAGGUUAGUGCAAUGGCAUAAGCCAGCUUGACUGCGAGCGUGACGGCGCGAGCAGGUGCGAAAGCAGGUCAUAGUGAUCCGGUGGUUCUGAAUGGAAGGGCCAUCGCUCAACGGAUAAAAGGUACUCCGGGGAUAACAGGCUGAUACCGCCCAAGAGUUCAUAUCGACGGCGGUGUUUGGCACCUCGAUGUCGGCUCAUCACAUCCUGGGGCUGAAGUAGGUCCCAAGGGUAUGGCUGUUCGCCAUUUAAAGUGGUACGCGAGCUGGGUUUAGAACGUCGUGAGACAGUUCGGUCCCUAUCUGCCGUGGGCGCUGGAGAACUGAGGGGGGCUGCUCCUAGUACGAGAGGACCGGAGUGGACGCAUCACUGGUGUUCGGGUUGUCAUGCCAAUGGCACUGCCCGGUAGCUAAAUGCGGAAGAGAUAAGUGCUGAAAGCAUCUAAGCACGAAACUUGCCCCGAGAUGAGUUCUCCCUGAGACUUAGAGUCUCCUGAAGGAACGUUGAAGACGACGACGUUGAUAGGCCGGGUGUGUAAGCGCAGCGAUGCGUUGAGCUAACCGGUACUAAUGAACCGUGAGGCUUAACCUU
rnacentral:rRNA from 1 species